UACAGAGGUCCCAAGCGUUGUUCGGAUUCACUGGGCGUAAAGGGUGCGUAGGUGGUGAGGUAAGUCGGAUGUGAAAGCUCGGAGCUCAACUCCGAAAUGGCAUUGGAAACUACCUUGCUCGAGGGUUGGAGGGGGGACUGGAAUACUUGGUGUAGCAGUGAAAUGCGUAGAUAUCAAGUGGAACACCAGUGGCGAAGGCGGGUAGCUGGGCCAACACUGACGCUGAUGCGCGAAGGUCAGGGGAGCAAACGGG
rnacentral:rRNA from 1 species